UGAAUUUUGGUAUAUGAUGCACGGAAAAUUUUGAAUUUUCAAGUAAUGGUUUAAUUCCAUUAAAUUCAA
rnacentral:tRNA from 1 species